CCGGUCUCGCGUGGUAGUCGUCCGGCGGUAGGACGGCGCCACGGCCGCGUCCGGCUCCGUUUCGGCGCGACCCCCGCGCGACGAUGAAGAACCGGUUCACCGCAAGAUAAGGGUUUAAUUUCAAUUAUUACAUUUGUUUUUUUUUCAUUCCGUUCCACGACUGACCCAGGAGACGUGCAAAACGAGGGUGUUAGAAAACCGUCACAACUCGACCCGAUAAAUCACCACCAGAUGGCACUACCGACUGUGUGUGGUUUUUCACAAGUUAAACAUAUAAACAUGAAACUGGAUAAGAUAUUACCAAGUAGAGAUAAGGAUGAAUAUGAACUUGAAAUUUAGCAAAAUAGCACUUUCAUUAUCUAUUAUAGUGAGUUUGCGUGGCUUUCAGAAGCAACAGCUUGCGAAAUGUUCUUGUGUAUACACAUACACAUAUAUACAUAUAUAUUAUGUAUAAUACAGAACUAAUAUUGUCAUGGGCCCGUGGAAUUGAAUUAAAACCGUCGAAAAGCAGUCGAACCGUUUAUAAUUUAUUCCGUAACACACAGCGCCGGAUACAUUCUGCCGUUUUCUUCAUACAUAUUCAUGCGGGCGCGGAGGAAACAGGUGAAGGUCUCACACACCGCCCAGGCCACAUGGCGCAAACGACACCCGGCAGCAGCGACAGCCGUAGUGGCAACUGAAACGGUUCUACCAUAGAAUGUUUAGAUAAGGAGUGAGUAGGGGUCUAUGCCACCAAGAGUUAAGACGACAAUAUUAAUACAUAAUAUCAUAUUGUUUUCCUAUCCAAAAAUAGUAUUAUAUAUUGUAAAAUACCGAAAUCUGUAAAAAUCAGAAAUGGUUCCUUCUACAUAGUAAUUUUUAAAAUAUAACUAUGUAUGAAUAUAAACUGAAAAGCACGUUUUCACGUUCAAUUCUGUUCAAAAUUUGAUGAAAAUAUCCUAAUAAUAUAGGUACAAUAUAUUAAUAUAUAAUACACUAACGAAUUGUUAUAGUAUAAUCUUAUAAGACUCCUUUAAGAAAAACUUGAUUUAAUUUUAUAUAUUAACUGUAACUAAAGUACAUUAGAUACAUUUCUGAUUAUAUUCCGUAACUCUGUAAGGUAUGCAAAAGCAUAACAAAGAAAUCGUCCUACGUAGUUUGGGAUGAACACGCGAAGGUAUAGUCGAGGUUGGGUCGAGGAUGAAAAAACACAUAUCACAAGUCACGCAAACACGACACACACAUAUAUAUCGGAUGCUGAAAACAUAAAUUAUGUAUGUGUCCGGUAUAGACGGCCGGUACGCGGAAAUUACGACGGUAUAGUGGUGAAAGGAAGAUAUAGGUGACAAAAAUAAGAAUACUUUAGGUACUUUUCAGUUUUUGCCACGUAAAUCCAAUACGAGUGGAAAGGUGGAAUAUACUAUUUCUUAUGCCCUCCUGUAUGUCUUGGGCAUAUAUACCUUCCUAAAAGUUCUAUAUAGAAAUGUAUCCGUUUUCUAUACCGAUUUCGUGAAAAACUUUUAUAAACAGGUUGAUACUUAUACUUGUUAGAUAGUACCUAAAGCUAUAGUUUUUACUUUGAAAAAUAAAUUUGAAAACGAAACAACAACUGAGCGAGUUCUAAGUGAUUUUCUUUUUAUAUACCAACGUUAACACUAUAAAUAUACUUUAGUUAUUAAAAUGUCAUCUUUUAAAAUUCUUGUGUACACCUUUCUACUAUUUAUAAAUCGAACUAUACUUAUUAAUAUAAUUUAAUUUAUUAAUGUGUAUAAUGUAUAUAUACAUAUACAGUUUGGUCUAAUAAGACUUUUUAUAUAUAAUUACUGGUAAUUAAUAAUUUAAUAAAUUCUCCUAUAAAUAG